rnacentral:rRNA from 1 species
AUGAGUAGUACGAACUGCAGUAUUGUUUCCUGGAAUGUUAGGGGUCUAAACAUGUCUGCAAAGAGAGAAUCGGUCCGCGAGAUUGCAGCAUCACAUAGAACAGCCAUCCUGUGUAUGCAGGAGACCAAAAUAGAUAUUUGGUCGCAGCAGAUGGUGUUAGAUAUAGGAGGCAACACACUUCAGGACUGCAUUGUCCUUCCAGCGAUUGGAACCUGCGGCGGCGCAGCAAUCUUCUGGAAUAGGAAUAUCAUCUCAGUAGUUUCACAGGCGAUAGGUGAAUUUAGCAUCACGGCCCAGGUCACCGUGCUUAGCACAAAUAAGCGCUUUUUCCUUACCACU